GUUUGAGCCUCAGUGGAGGCAACUGACGACAUUGACUCUUUAUGUUUCACUGGGUUGAGAAAGUAUGUAUGAACAUAUACUACAUUGUAAUAAAGUCCAUAGUACUA